AAAACAUUGGUUCCCAUACGCUCACCGAAAUUAAGCAACGUUGAGCCUGGUCAGUACCUAGACUAGAGGCCGCUUGGGAAUAUCAGGUGGUGUAAG